rnacentral:rRNA from 1 species
CAUCGCCGCGGGAAUACGAAGGGUGCAAGCGUUAAUCGGAAUUACUGGGCGUAAAGCGUGCGUAGGCGGUGAGUUAAGUCUGCUGUGAAAUCCCCGGGCUCAACCUGGGAAUGGCAGUGGAUACUGGCUCGCUAGAGUGUGUCAGAGGAUGGUGGAAUUCCCGGUGUAGCGGUGAAAUGCGUAGAGAUCGGGAGGAACAUCAGUGGCGAAGGCGGCCAUCUGGGACAACACUGACGCUGAGGCACGAAAGCGUGGGGAGCAAACAGGAUUAGAUACCCGCGUAGUCCCUGUCUCUUAUACA